rnacentral:rRNA from 1 species
CAGUCGCCGCGGUAAUACGAAGGGGGCUAGCGUUGCUCGGAAUUACUGGGCGUAAAGGGCGCGUAGGCGGACAGUUAAGUCGGGGGUGAAAGCCCGGGGCUCAACCUCGGAAUUGCCUUCGAUACUGGCUGUCUUGAGUAUGAGAGAGGUGUGUGGAACUCCGAGUGUAGAGGUGAAAUUCGUAGAUAUUCGGAAGAACACCAGUGGCGAAGGCGACACACUGGCUCAUUACUGACGCUGAGGCGCGAAAGCGUGGGGAGCAAACAGGAUUAGAUACCCCCGUAGUCCCUGUCUCUUAUAC